AGUGCAGUAGUGCAAGUACAGCUCUCCAUCCAUCAUAACCGACCUUAGCUUGCAUUCAAAGGUGCUAGCACCAAAUCCAUAGCUCCAUGAUUAAGAGAUUUGUAGGGAGCACCAUACACUCGUUGGAUUAGAAUACAUGUAUCCAGCAGACACACACACACACACACACACACGCACACACACACAUAAACACAUAAACACAUGUGUCUAGGUGCAUGUACAUGCACAAACAUUUGGACAUGCACAUACCAUGUGUAUGUGUAUGUCGCCGACCUAUUGCAGCGGCUUGCAAUUGUUUUCUCGAGGAGGUCUUGGACAUCACAGACUGGGUACAUCACACGCAGGCGCAUCGAGCCCAGGGGAGCGGGAGAUCC
rnacentral:lncRNA from 1 species